rnacentral:rRNA from 1 species
GAGCAAUCCUGGCGGCGAGUGGCGAAGUGGUGAGUAAUACAUCGGAACAUGUCCAGUAGUGGGGGAUAGUGGGCGGAAGCCGGAUUAAUACCGCAUACGAUCUAUGGAUGAAAGCGGGGGAUCGCAAGACCUCGCGCUAUUGGGGAGGGGGUGGCGGGUUAGCUAGUUGGUGGGGUAAAGGCCCACCAAGGCGACGAUCCGUAGCUGGUCUGAGAGGACGACCAGCCACACUGGGACUGAGACACGGCCCAGACUCCUACGGGAGGCAGCAGUGGGGAAUUUUGGACAAUGGGCGCAAGCCUGAUCCAGCAAUGCCGCGUGUGUGAAGAAGGCCUUCGGGUUGUAAAGCACUUUUGUCCGGAAAGAAAUCCUGAUGGCUCAUCUCCGUCGGGGAUGACGGUACCGGAAUUUUUUUGCACCGGCUAACUACGUGCCAGCAGCCGCGGUAAUACGUAGGGUGCGGCGUUUUUCGGAAUUACUGGGCGUAAAGCCUGCCCAAGCGGUGAUGUAAAACCCAUGUGAAAUCCCCGGGCUUAACCUGGGAACUGCAUUGGUGACUGCAUCGCUGGAGUAUGGCAAAAGGGGGUAGAAAUUCCACGUGUAGCAGUGAAAUGCGUAAAGAUGUGGAGGAAUACCCGGUGGCGAAGCCCCCCCCCUGGGCCAAUACUGACGCUCAUGCAACAAAAGCGUGGGGGAGCCAAACAAGAUUAAAUACCCUGGUAGUCCCACGCCCUAAACGAAUGUCAACUGGUUGUCGGGGCCUUCAUUGGGCUUAGGUAACGUCACAUAACUCGUGAUGUUUGACCCGCCUUGGGGGAGUUACCGGUUCCAAGAAUAAAAACAAUCGAAGGUAAUUCGCAGGGGCGACCCCGCACACAGGCCGAGUGCGAUGUAAUCUGGAAAUUUAUUUUUCCA